rnacentral:misc_RNA from 2 species
AGCAGCCGCGGUAAUUCCAGCUCCAAUAGCGUAUAUUAAAAUUGUUGCAGUUAAAAGCUCGUAGUUGAAUUUCGGGAUUGACGUGAUGGUCAUGCCUUAAGGGGUAUGAACUGUUACUGUUGAUUUCUCACCUUCUGGAGAAACUUGAUGUCCUUUAUUGGGUGUCUUGCGGAUCCAGGACCUUUACCUUGAAAAAAUUAGAGUGUUUAAAGCAGGCAUUUUUGCUCGAAUACAUUAGCAUGGAAUAAUAGAAUAGGACGGCAUGGUUCUAUUUUGUUGGUUUCUAGGAUCACCGUAAUGAUUAAUAGGGAUAGUUGGGGGCAUUAGUAUUCAAUUGUCAGAGGUGAAAUUCUUGGAUUUAUUGAAGACUAACUACUGCGAAAAGCAUUUGCCAAGGAUGUUUUCAUUAAUCAAGAACGAAAGUUAGGGGAUCGAAGACGAUCAGAUACCGUCGUAGUCUUAACCAUAAACUAUGCCGACUAGGAAUCAGACGAUGUUAAUUUUUUAAUGACUCGUUUGG